GGAACGAGCGGCCGGCAGAGCUCUCUGCGGACACAGGAGGAAGCACGGCAGACAGCGAGAGGGCUGACCCCAGCACAUGGGUAGUGCCAUUGCCGAUGGCCUCCAAGAGCCACAGUGGGAGAAUUAGGUCCUAGGAGUCAGCACCAGGCGGCUGGCCCCCCACACAGCCUGCUGCCGGGGCUUGUCUGCCGCACAUGUGCCCACUUGAGGAGCUGACUCAUGGUAGGCUUUACCAUCCCUUGUAUCCCCAAGACUGUUAGACAUGAAGUAUGAACUCCUCUCAUUCACUUCACUAGGCCCUAGGCUUCAAGCUAUUCUGCUCCCAGUGCAGAUCAAACUAGGACAUGGAUGUGGCCAGGGUACCCGGGCUGGAGGCACCUUCUUGCUGGCUGAGAAGUCCUACGGGCACCCUAAAUAGCAGUAGAAAGACUUCCUCCUCAGCGGAAGGAUGCUUGUUUUCACUGUCCUGCAUGCAGAGACCAAGAGUCACACAGGUACAUUAAACUCAGAUUGAUUUAGGAUCUGCUGUGUACUACUCUGGGCUGACACCAGGGCAGAAGGGCUGGUCCUCUCCACCUAUGGACUCAGCCUGGACCAGGUCCAGACCCCAGGGAUACUGGAGCAAAAAGACUGGAGGGGGAUAUUCCUGGUGGUAAAGAAAGCAGGAUCAGGGAGGUGGGGUCGGUAACAACCCUUUACAGUUCUAACACAUGGCUUUGUCUAAGUCAACAUGCAUUGUUAGCGUAUGCUUGCAAAAGGUGGAUUCUGAAGUCACCCUGAAAACUGACCAGUUUACCUGCGUUUUAAAGACAGGACUAAUGCUACCUCUUCUCUAAACAGGAGGAAACGGGCUCCUGCUCACUGAGAGACAUGCAGUUUGACAAUCUCCCCACUAGGGGCUGACCUAAGCCCAGUGAGACGAAUUACUUUCUAAGCCAUUUCUCUUGCAAAUGACCAGCUUCCAAGAUAAGUGCAUCAUAUCAUUCACAUACUGUGAUGUCUAGACUCAUCCCUUUUGACACUGAAAGGCCAUAUGUUUGAAGAGAACGAAGAUCAGGCUUAUGUUCAAAGACUAGGGGCAAGCACCAACAGUAAUGCAACUCAGAACAUGAGAAGCAGACCACCACCACAAAACCCUGUAGGAGAACCUGACAGCACAGUCCACACCCACCCGGGCUCACCACUGAGCCCCCGCACAGCCUAAGGGAGUGAGAAGCAAGUUUAGAAGCUCUCCGGGUUCAAUCUUAUUUGCAGGCAAUGUCCAAGCUACUGUGCAGGCCUAACCUCGCCUUAGAGGUGUGGAAACGGCUCAGAGAACACAGUGUCUUGACCGUCACUUCUCCAGGUCAGCACUGGGAAAAGCCUUGUCUCUGGAUUCUUCCAGCAGCCCUCCCACCACACAUCUGCUUCACCUGCACAUCACCCACUUACGAUUUGGCCUCUGGCAUUCCUCCUGAAUGAUCUGGUGGACCUUUGUGUGCAGGUUUUUAUCUUCUCUGGUUACCUAAACAGGAAAAAAGUUCCGAGAGAGAAGAUUCUCAGGUAACCCAACAGGUAGAUCACCCAGACACUUAAGCUAGCAUUUAGGAGAGUUUGUAAGAUCUCCUAACGAUCACCCACCUACAACAAUGGGAGUUUCCACUGCAGAGACAGCCAUAAAUGCCUUGGAUCUGACUUAACUCACGGUUGACUGGGAAAGUUACAUGAGGUCAUGUGUGUGAAGCUAGGUCUGUACUCCCAGCACUCUGGGAGGCAGAGGCAGGACGAUCUCAAGUUUAAGCCUAGGCUUGAGCAACUUAGCAAAACUUUGUCUUUAAAUUUUUUUAAAAAGUUAGGGAGGGCCCAGGAUUUAGCUCAGUGGCACAGCACCUGCCUGGCAAAUGCAAGAUCAUAAGUUUGAUUCCUGGUACAAAAAAAUAGGGCUGGGGAUAUACCUCAGUGUGAAGGACCUGGGUUUAGUUUCUACCACAUUAAAAAAAAAAAGAAGAGAAAAGAAAAAGGCCAUGUGUGCCAACUGCUCAGAGCUGGAAGGCACCAGUCUCACAGGAGUGGUGCCUGCCCCCACGGUAAGAACCACUGCCCUGAGCCCGGGUCUCAGGGAAGAGGAAACCUGGGCAGCCCACAAUGAGUGGAAGGGGAGGAGUGAAGUCGGGAGGCGACAGGAGGCCUGUUCCUGCCUGAUGGCCAAUUCCAGCAUAGAGUGAGUCACAGGAGGAAGUGUCCAGCCCUGCUGGGUCUCAUCCCCAGUGCUGCCUGUGGCUCUGCCGCUCCCCAGGACAGGCUGCCUUCUAGGAGCCGUGGCCCACAGUUUGAAGGGUGGGGAAGGGGACAGGUGUUGGGGGGGUACAGCUGAUCUGCCCUGCUGGCCCGACAGCUCCAGCCAACCCCACACACCUUCCCAAUCCCAGACAGAAUGGGCUGCACUCGCCCUUCCAGAUUGGAGUGUCCCCUCCAGCAGCUCCUCAACAGCACUGGAAAACCAUAGGGUUCCGAAUGCUGAGAUAAAUGCACAUCAGGAAGUAUGCUAGUCAGGAGACCUUACCGUGGGGACCCAGCUAGGCACAGACUACUCACUUUCCCGAAGCUACAUUUAUGCUGCUGACCUCGAUGUCCCAAAGAGACUCGUUUCCAGCCUGGCCACCCCAAAGUGAAGGGGUUGCAGCAAGAGGCAGAGGAAAGCAAUGAGGCAGAGGGAUUCCCCAGUUUGGGUACCUGGUGGGAAAUCAGUGGGCACAGCCUUUGGCAAGCAGCUUAAACACAUGUGAAAUGCUCUUACAGAAACUGCACGAGUUCACAAAGACAGAUGUACCGAGAAGGCCAAUGCAACACUGCCUUCAAGAGCAGAAGUUGGAAAAAGCACGACAGUUCGUAACAAAAAAAGGAUAAAAAAAUGCACAGCGUAGCAUGCACCACAAGGACGUCGAAAAGAAUGGGGUGCAUUCCCAAGUGUCCGUGUGCAAAGGUGCCCAGGAGAGGCUAUUUCAACAUCAAUACAAGUCACCGUGGACUGCACAGAGCAGCAGUCCUCAGCUGUCCCAGGGAGCACUUAGCUGUGUCCAGGGAUGUUUUUGAUCAUCACAAUGGAAGAGGUACUACUGGUAGCUGGUGAGUAAAGGAUGCAGAUACACUAAAUGGCCUACAAGGCACAGGACAGUCCCCAUGGCCAACAGCCAUCUGGCCCAUUUGUGCUAAGGUUAACAAGUCCUGAUUCAGAAGAAGAUCACUUUUUUUUAUGAAACAAAAAAGGUACAGGAGUGUAUCUGUAAUUUGUGCAUUUGUGAAGGAACAGACACAUGUCUGGAAGGAUAGACAGAAAGUAGCGUGGAGAAAGGUAAGGCUAAUUUUCACUUCUAACUUUAUUUGCAACCUACUAAUUUUUUAAAAACAGUAAGUUUUAAAAUUCUUUAGUGGGGCUGGGGAUUUAGCUCAGAGGCAUAAGCGCCUGCCUUGCAAGCCUGAGGUCGUGAGUUUGAUCCCUGGUACUGGUAAAAAUACAAAAAAAAAAAGAAAGAAAAUAAAAUUCUUUAGUAACAAUGUUUGUAAUCGAAGCUAUGAAGAAAAAAAAGUUAAGGUUCUCACAUAGUACAGGGUAUCAAAGCCAUCAUUUUUCUGGAAAACAAAUCCUUUUUCCUGCAGCAGCUGUAUAGCAUUCUUAAAUAUACUAUGAAUGGCCUUGGUACUGGUGUUGUUCUUAAAUUCCACCUACAUGGAGAGGAAAAAGAAAGAAAAAAAAGAGUAAGUUCCACCUUACAGCACCUAAAGACAAUUUCCCAGGGCAACUGGUUUAUGAAUCCACCUUAUAGGCUUCUAAUCUGCUGGCUCAAGGAAGAUUCGUGUGUGACAGCUCAGCGGGAUGGUAGGUAAGGAGGCUGGAAGUUUCUCCAACAGAACCAAGCUUGUUAACUGUUCCAUACUUUAGUUGGGAUUUGUUUGUUUACUGCAGGGAUAGGGAGUAGGAAGUCUGCUCCUCUCAAGUUGGGCAACCUUUGUGUACACAUUUGCUCCUUUCUUCAGUAAGACCAGUGGCAGAAAAGAGAGCACACAGGCCUAGGAGAGCAGAAGCAGUUCUAGUUGCCAACAAGGAAGAUGCAACAGGAAGGCCUCAGUAAAUAUAAACAAUGGGCGAAGUUUCCUUUCAGAAACCUCGGUCUCAGCUGACCUUGGGACAUGUUUCCUGGCUUGGUUCAAAGGCCGCAGACUCCAAGGGAAGACCGCUAGUUCCCUCUCCCAAACUGCCAGCAGCUCCUCCAGAACUGGAAUCUGUUUUCUUCUUGUUCUUUUUUUUUUUUCUUUCUGAGUUCUCAUGGAUUCUUCUUGUUCUUGAAAGGGCAAUGACAGACCCAUCGGGUCAGGAAACCAAAACUGCUCACAGACUAAAAUGGCAAUUGGCUGAAUGAGCCAAGCCUCAGCUCAGGUCAGGCACAGGGCAGCUCCCUGAAAUAUAUUUCAUCCUCACUCCCAACCACCUCCACAUCCAUCCAGCUGUCAGAAGAAACAAUGGCUUUGCAAGAUCUGCUUAUCAUGUUUCUAGAUUUGCUAAGAGGGGCCUCCACAGCAAAAGAACAAAAGGAGAAAUGUUCAAACCACUCUCCUCCUCUAAAAUCUACCACACCAUCACAGUGGCUUUUUGUUAAGCUCAACAAUGCAAAGUGCCAGAGGCUCUCAGGUUUCACCAUCACUGUGAGCAUCGUUAGUCUCCCAGGGCUUUAUUAAGUGGAUCGAAUGGAAUGACACCGACCUCCCUGACCACAGCAAUGACAGACUUAUUCAUAAUUGAUGAAGAAAAAUGGUCUCCAAAGACAAAGCACAUACAGUGCCAGAGCCGUCCCUCCUGAACAUGUAGCAUGGGGCAGAAACGCUCCUCUGCUCUACGUUCCUCACAGAUCACUCCAAGUGGAGAAGCACUGAGUCCUCAAAAUGUCCUUUUGUCUCUCUGCUUAAUUACAGCCAUCACAGAAGAACUGGCUCCAUGGGAAGAAUGUGGUCUUCCCUAAGCACUAGCUUCCUGGCAAGCAUAUGGACAGUCAUUGGAAGUGCGAGGGGAUCAAUUUGGCUUUGAGCCUCCUUUGUGUCACUACGUGGGAAGGUCACACUUGGACAGCUGGGAAGCUGGGGUUGUGCAGAGCAACCCUGGCAAACAGCAAAGCACCUGGUUUUACCUUCUCCACCUAGGUGUUUUCUGUAAUGCUAUUCUUCAUCUCCCAUAUGGAACCCUGGGUCACUAGGCACAUGAUCUGGUUGGCACGAAGAGGUAAUGAGGCAUAUGAACACACCUGAGGGGCAGUGGCCAGGCCCUGGAGGUCAGGAGGAUUUCAGAGAUUUCAGAGGAGGAGCACGGUUUGAAUGUUUCUCCCCUUGUUCUUUUUCCAUGUAGACCCUUUUAGGCCUCUACCACUAUUACAAAGCACAAUUUAGGUUCCUUAGCGAGAGUGUUCACACACGGUAGCCCUGCUAGUAACAGAACACUAGCAAACCUCUGACCAGCCAGGGAUGGAGGCACUGGUUACAUACAUUAACCAGUCUGCGGGUCAGGUGACAAAUGGUCAUUCCACAGUGGCAAAUCUACAUAUAUGACCAGACCAAGAUCCAAAGUGCAAGACACACUGCUCAGGAAACAGCUAGGCCUCUUCUAGGUUUGGUAGCAUGGUACUGGGUACCAUAUACACGGCGUCCACACACACGGACUCGCUCAACAAGCACAUUCAGGAGUGGCGAUGGACUUGUCUUGGGGACAGGGGCAUGAUGAGAGGAAGGAUGGGAAGGGCACCUAUUUUUAAUGACCCACUUUGGGGAACCAUUUGAAUUUUUAUAAGUAUUCAUUUCUUCAAUCAAAUAAUUACCAAGAAUCUGCUUUCUCCUGCCCUGGUUGAAGCCCUGCCUGGAUAUAGAACAAAGAAUAAGACAGACAGACAAGGUCUUUGAUCUCACAGGUCUUAAAUCCUGAUGGAACAGAGUAACAUCACAGAUAUAAAAGUAACAGGGUGAUCAGUGAGGGACAAGUGGCAGCCAGAACAGAUAACUGGGGAAGGGAAGAAGGUUGUAUUUAUGCUGAGAUUGUUUAUUUAUUUUAAAAUAAAUAAAUAUGAGUCAUGUCAGAAUUACAACAAACUUAAGAAAAAGGAGUGAAAGGAAAGCCUAAAACCAAAGUCGCCAAUUAUUCUUAGUUUCAAACAAAAAAAUGCCAAAUAACUAAAACUAUCUGCCUGUAACAUUAGAAAUUAAAAACAAACAAAAAAACCUGAAAUGAACUUCAGUAUUCUAAGACUUUUACUUAUAAACUAGACCGAAUACAACUGGUUCUCUAUUUAAACUCCUAAAAUAUGACAGGUUAGCCUUACUCUGAAGGGAACCAGUCAUUAAAGUUCAUGAAUGACCUGCCGAUCAAUGACCAAGGAGGGAGGGUACAGGACUCCUCUCCUCCCCCUUCCCCUCCCAGGAUUCGGCUGGGACUAAACACCCUCUCAGUGAGCACUGACAGCCAGACCACGCCUGUGAUUAGUGUUCCGCUGAAGAUUAGGUGCAAUGAGAUUAAAUAAGGAGGAGAAAAGGGUGGGUCUGCCCUCAUUUCAGACACUUCAUGGUCACUGAGCUUUCUGAAAUAGAAACGAUUAAGUCAGAACCAUGACUUAUGCCCAGGAUCCACCCUAGCUUUACGCCAGCCAUGGCCACCCACACCGUGUGGCCAGAAGACCCAGACUUUCAUGUGAGCAUGCCACACUCACUUGGUUGGAACAGGUGCCAUGAGUCACAGGCUGACUGGCAAGGGACAGCAAGGAGGUCACUGAUUCCAAUUCCUGCUGGUAGAAGUUUUGCACUUUCUUCUCCAGGAGGAAUUCUUUGACUUUUUCACUCAGCAAACAUGUGAGACCGGUAAUGUCCAGGGCACCUGGGUUGCUGGUGGGAGAAAAACUUUAAAAGCCCUGCAGAAAACCAUCACCUUGAUUCCUUUUUUGGUAUGUAUAAGACAGAAAGUUAGCUAGAAAUGCAAUAUUAUAUUGCAAUACUAGAUGCAAUGCUAUAGUGAAGAUCAGAUAUUUAUUUAAAAUGAUGAGAUAGAACUCUGAGAACUAACAGAGAUAUUCCUGGUAGAUUAAGAAAAAAAAAAAAAAAGAGCAGUGUAGAACGUCUGCAAACCUGCCAUUCUGGGAGGCUGAGGCAGAUUAAAAGUUCAAGCUCAGCUUGGCAAUUUAGCAAGAUCCUGUCUCGAAACAAAAAAUAAAAA